CCUACGGGAGGCAGCAGUGAGGAAUAUUGGUCAAUGGUCGGGAGACUGAACCAGCCAAGCCGCGUGAGGGAGGAAGGUACAGAGUAUCGUAAACCUCUUUUGUCAGGGAACAAAGACUGGGACGCGUCCCCGGAUGAGUGUACCUGACGAAAAAGCAUCGGCUAACUCCGUGCCAGCAGCCGCGGUAAUACGGAGGAUGCGAGCGUUAUCCGGAUUUAUUGGGUUAAAGGGGUGCGCAGGCGGUCUGUUAAGUCAGCGGUAAAAGCCCGGGGCCCACCCCCGGACCGCCGUUGAAACUGGCAGUCUCGAGUUGGAGAGAGGUAUGCGGAAUGCGCGGUGUAGCGGUGAAAUGCAUAGAUAUCGCGCAGAACUCCGAUUGCGAAGGCAGCAUGCCGGCUCCACACUGACGCUGAGGCACGAAAGCGUGGGUAUCGAACAGGAUUAGAUACCCUAGUAGUC
rnacentral:rRNA from 1 species